GUGGUCAUCUCUGCCGUGGUCCCAGUCCCUGCUGUGGCCCUCUCUGCCGUGGUCACAUUCCCUGCUGUGGCCCCAGUCCCUGCUGUGGCCCUCUCUGCCGUGGUUACAUUCCCUGCUGUGGCCCUCCCUUCCGUGGUCCCAGUCCCUGCCGUGGUCCUCACAAUAAUAAGGAUUGUAAGAAGUGUACACAGCAGCUGUAGCGGGCUAUAAAUCUAGCGGCACAUUUCUCUAAUUAUUAUGUAAUGCGCUGAUAAUUAACUUUGAG